rnacentral:rRNA from 1 species
AGCGUUGUCCGGAAUUACUGGGCGUAAAGGGCGUGUANGCGGCCUUUUAAGUCNCACGUGAAAUAUUUGGGCUUAACCCAAAGGCUGCGUUUGAAACUGGAGGGCUUGAGGACCGGAGAGGGUAGUGGAAUUCCCANUGUAGCGGUGAAAUGCGUAGAUAUUGGGAGGAACACCAGUGGCGAGGGCGACUGCCUGNACGGCACCUGACGCUGAGGCGCGAAAGCUAUGGGAGCAAACGGGAUUAGAUACCCCGGUAGUCCUACCCGUAAACGAUGGGUACUACGUGUGGGAGGUAUCGACCCCUUCCGUGCCGCAGUUAACACNAUAAGUUCCCCGCCUGGGGAGUACNGCCGCNNGGUUGAAGCUCAUAGGAAUUGACGGGGGCCCGCACAAACCGGUGGAGCAUGUGGUUUAAUUCGAAACAACGCGAAGAACCUUACCAGNUCUNGACUUCCCUUUGAANAGUAUAGANAUAUACUCCUUCUUCGGAGCAAAGGAGACAGGUNGUGCAUGGCUGUCGUCAGCUCGUGUCGUGAGAUGUUGGGUUAAGUCCCGCAACGAGCGCAACCCUUAUUCUUAGUUGCCAGCGAUUCGGUCGGGCACUCUAAGGAGACUGCCGGUGAUAAACCGGAGGAAGGUGGGGAUGACGUCAAGUCAUCAUGCCCCUUAUGACCUGGGCUACACACGUGCUACAAUGGCCGGUACAGCGCGCAGCGAACCUGCGAGGGUAAGCAAAUCGCUUAAAACCGGUCUCAGUUCAGAUCGGAGGCUGCAACCCGCCUCCGUGAAGUCGGAAUCGCUAGUAAUCUCGGGUCAGCAUACCGAGGUGAAUACGUUCCCGGGCCUUGUACACACCGCCCGUCACACCACGAAAGUCUACAACACCCGAAACCGGUGGGCUAACCGUAAGGAGGCAGCCGUCUAAGGUGGUGUCGAUGAUUGGGGUG